CAUAAUUUCAGUGAUUCCUCAUGUGAGUUAAACACUUUUGUAUUUGCAUUUAAAACUAGCAUUGCACAAAUGAUAAAAUUCAUGCUAAUACUUUAAAAUUUUAACUUGGAAUGACAUUAAAUAACAUGAAAAAUGCAGCACAUCAAGAAAGAGACUCUGGAAGAGAGGAAAAAGCUGUAUAUUUUAGUAUUGUUAUGCCUUUUUCUUGCUUUUUGAACAGGACUUCCACAUUUUAGUUUAGCACCAGGUUCUGCAGACCAGAUAGCCAGUCCUAUUUAAAAGGGCCCACCAACGCAUGGCAGAAUGCAUUUUAAAAAGAUUUAUUUUGGAACUUCAAAGGUAAAGAGAAGUUUUUGAAGUUUCCAGAGAGAAAGAAGGGUUAAUUUACAAGAAAUGAAGUGCCUGCGGCCAGCAAUGUGGAGCUGGGUCAAGAGCGCUGUGGCUCUUUGAGCAUAGGGCACCGACUGUGGCUGGCCAGGGCUUGUGUGUGGCCCAGGGCUUCUGAGCAGGCUCAUCCCUUCUGAGCAGGCUCAUCCCAUGUCUUGACCUGGUCUGGAAACCAAAGGAAGGUGCAGCGGACAGCAGCUGGGGGGCAGGGGUAGACUGGGCACACGAGGCUCAUUGUGAAAUCCCAGGGCGUCUCCUGGGAGCUUGUCUGCACAGAGCUGGCAGGGCCAGUGCUGGAGCCAAGCCAGGUUCCAGAAACGUGCCCAGACACAGCUUGGCAAGGUGGUGGGCUGCAGCAUGUGAGGACAGGAGGAACACAGUGUCCCUGAGCUCUGCUGCUCCAGAGCUGGGCUCCGUGGAAGAACCAGGAGGCUGAAGAGGACUGGAGGAGGUGCAGGCCCCACAGAACUGGAGUGCUUACCACCUGAACCCCUGGAAGUGUCUCCCUCCUGAAGGCCCUGGGUCUCAAACCAGCUGCUCAUUUGACUUGCCCAGGGGCUUUAGACAGCUGCCAGGCCACAGCCCAGAACCAGGAGCCAGCCUCAUGGACUUUCACAGCCCUAUCAGACUACUACUGGCGGAGAAGCUGACAGGGAGGACUAGGUGUCACUGGAUUCAGGGGAUGCUGGAGACAUGGGACCGGCAUGCAAAACAAGACCUUGAAGCUUGGCCUGAUCACCACACCCAGCUCUAUGGAGAGAAGCCUGUUCUGGCUUUAAGAAGGCAUCUCCAAGAACUGCCAGUGGCCUGAAACAUCAGCCGAAACCUGGGAAGGGUCCCUGCCCCACCAGCUGUACUGGGAGCCUGGCAGGGCAUGAUUUUGAGCCAUACUGGGCCCUGGCAGCUGCUGACACUACUGAGUGCUGGGAGCCAUUGGGCUGGCGCCCCUCCUUCAGGCCAUGCAGCAGGAGACCAUGUAAGAAACAAGAGAGAUGGAGUCUGUCUCGAGGCUCAAAGCCCGCUUCCCGCUCGGCUGCUUUCUCACUCCGGGCUGCGGCAGGGCAGAUGCUGUCUGAAGGAGAACAGGCGGUCCUGGCAAGCCCAGCUUCCAUGAGAAAGCACCCAUGGGUGUGAUGUGGGUGCUGCUCAGUGCCCUCCCACCCUCUGCACGCCCCAGAGGGGCAGAGGCAGGGUCCUUAUUUAGGCUGUGCGGGAGAGGCAGACCUUUCGCUGUGAGUGGAGGUGCUUGGCUCUCAUGAAGACUUAGGUAAAAGUGUACUGGCCUGUUUUGGGCUUCAGGGACCUAAGUAAUGGCCUCUCCAUUGUUUUAUUUUUACUGUGGUAAUGGUGGCGUCUAUCAUAGAGCCAAUCGCAGGUGGUUUGAGAUGGGAGUGGGGGUGUCAUGUCCAGAUCCACCGGGGAAGGGCUAACUCCCGUGGAUGCCAGUGAGAUGGAAAACCGGUUCUACACACCGUGACCCGAAUGGGGAAAAAUGAUGACCAAGCUGGUUAAUAAUAAAAGGUCAUUUUCACGUUGGCAGUAAUGUUGAGAGCAUAAGAAGAUCUGAAAAAUGAAAGGACAAAGACAUCUGCUUAACAGAGACACAUAUACACCACACACAAACACACAGGUACACAUACACACACCACACACACUACACAUACACACAUACAUGCAGGUAUACACAUGCAGAUAUGCAUACACACAAGUACACAAAUACACACCACAUACAGAAGCACAUACAUAGACAUAUGCCACACAAACACACCACACACACAAAUACAUACACACACAGAUACAUAAACAUGCAUACAUAUGUAUACACAGACAUCCCCACAUACCACAUGCACACACUACACACAUAGACACACACAUGCCACACAUAUACAAACACAGAUACACCACACAGAGAUACACACAUAUACACACACCAUGUAUGCAUGCAAACAUACAAACACACAUGGACACACACAGACACCUCCCCAAACCACAUGCGCACAUCAUGAACGGACACACACAUACUACAAACAGAUGCACACGUACACCCCCUCCCACACACACACAGAUUCCUAACAGGAUGAACCCUCCGGCCCAUUAGGGGAAGCCCUGGUAGCAAAUGAAAAAAAGCAUCCUCUAGAAAGCUACUAUUUAGUGAUCAAGAUUAAAGAACUGGGGUGAGGCUGAGAAAAAAAUUCAUAGCAUGACAUUAAGGAAUGGAUAUCUCAUUAAUUUUAAAAGAGAAGAUUGAAUGAACAAGUGUCUAAUAUUUUGACUGUAGAAAAAUAAAUAAAAUGGCUGUUUGUUCACGGCCAUGCUUUAACUGGGCGAUAUUUUUCUCUUCAUGAAUCUCUUCUACUUAAAUUCUCUCCACCUUGGGAGGUCUGCCUUAUUUCCAAGGCGAGCAAAUCCUGCUCAGAUCCUGGUCCACUGAAGUCUGUCCGAGGAGUCUUUUCUCGCCCCUGUUCUGUUGAGAUUUCCUGCCAUGUACACGGUAGUGUGAGGUAGAAAGUCUCGGUAGUUGAGAUUGGCUUGACCAAGCAUCUUGUUUUCUUUUUUAUUUCGAGGUUG
rnacentral:lncRNA from 1 species